UGGGGAAUAUUGCACAAUGGGCGAAAGCCUGAUGCAGCAACGCCGCGUGAGUGAUGAAGGUCUUCGGAUUGUAAAGCUCUGUCUUUUGGGACGAUAAUGACGGUACCAAAGGAGGAAGCCACGGCUAACUACGUGCCAGCAGCCGCGGUAAUACGUAGGUGGCGAGCGUUGUCCGGAUUUACUGGGCGUAAAGGGUGCGUAGGCGGAUGUUUAAGUGAGAUGUGAAAUACCCGGGCUUAACUUGGGUGCUGCAUUUCAAACUGGAUAUCUAGAGUGCAGGAGAGGAGAAUGGAAUUCCUAGUGUAGCGGUGAAAUGCGUAGAGAUUAGGAAGAACACCAGUGGCGAAGGCGAUUCUCUGGACUGUAACUGACGCUGAGGCACGAAAGCGUGGGUAGCAAACAGGAUUAGAUACCCUGGUAGUCCACGCCGUAAACGAUGAGUACUAGGUGUAGGAGGUAUCGACCCCUUCUGUGCCGCAGUAAAACACAUUAAGUACUCCGCCUGGGAAGUACGAUCGCAAGAUUAAAACUCUAAAGUGAAUUGACGGGGUC
rnacentral:rRNA from 1 species